CCUACGGGUGGCUGCAGUGAGGAAUAUUGGUCAAUGGGCGCGAGCCUGAACCAGCCAAGUAGCGUGAAGGAUGACUGCCCUAUGGGUUGUAAACUUCUUUUAUAGGGGAAUAAAGUGCAGGAUGUAGACGGCUUUGCAUGUACCUUAUGAAUAAGGAUCGGCUAACUCCGUGCCAGCAGCCGCGGUAAGACGGAGGAUCCGAGCGUUAUCCGGAGUUAUUGGGUUUAAAGGGAGCGUAGGCGGGUUGUUAAGUCAGUUGUGAAAGUUUGCGGCUCAACCGUAAAAUUGCAGUUGAUACUGGCCUCCUUGUGUUCAGUAGAGGUAGGCGGUAUUCGUGGUGUAGCGG
rnacentral:rRNA from 1 species